rnacentral:tRNA from 1 species
GGGCGCGUAGCUCAGUUGGUUAGAGCGCCUGCUUCACACGCAGGAGGUCCGCGGUUCGAGUCCGCGCGCGCCCACCA